AUUAUUUUUUGCAAAGGGCCAAAUGAGAAACAGAAAAUGUUGUGGUGGGCCGGGCCAAAAGGCUAAACUUAAGUCUGCACAAUAAUAAUUUUAUUCCUAUAUAAAAAGCAGUAAAUAGCAUUGUUUUGACAAACUGUUCGAUGUUCUGAUUAGAAAUUUUUAGUAUAUCAGUGCUUUUAAUAC